AGUGAACGCUGGCGGUAGGCCUAACACAUGCAAGUCGAACGGCAGCACAGUAAGAGCUUGCUCUUACGGGUGGCGAGUGGCGGACGGGUGAGGAAUACAUCGGAAUCUACUUUUUCGUGGGGGAUAACGUAGGGAAACUUACGCUAAUACCGCAUACGACCUACGGGUGAAAGCAGGGGAUCUUCGGACCUUGCGCGAUUGAAUGAGCCGAUGUCGGAUUAGCUAGUUGGCGGGGUAAAGGCCCACCAAGGCGACGAUCCGUAGCUGGUCUGAGAGGAUGGUGAGCCAGACUGGAACUGAGACACGGUCCAGACUCCUACGGGAGGCAGCAGUGGGGAAUAUUGGACAAUGGGCGCAAGCCUGAUCCAGCCAUACCGCGUGGGUGAAGAAGGCCUUCGGGUUGUAAAGCCCUUUUGUUGGGAAAGAAAAGCAGCAGGUUAAUACCCCGCUGCUCUGACGGUACCCAAAGAAUAAGCACCGGCUAACUUCGUG
rnacentral:rRNA from 1 species